rnacentral:snRNA from 1 species
GGAUGUGAGGGCGAUCUGGCUAUGACAUCUGUCACCUUAUUGAUCGCCAGUGUUGAUUCGACUGAUCUGGCUGGCUAGGCGGGUGUCCCCUUCCUCCCUCACUGCUCCAUGUGCAUCCCUCCCAAAGCUGUGCCCUCGAUCGAAGAGGACGGCCUCCCCCGAAUAUAGGCGGACCGGUCUUCGGUCGAGGGUAUAUUAGUAGCUGUACUCCCCUGCUAGAACCUCCAAACAAGCUCUCAAACCAAAACUAAAAACAAACAAAAAAAUCCCUUGCAAACAAAAAAACAACAAAAAAAAGCCAGAUGAUGAAGAGGUAGUAGAGGAAUUAAGGAGCUUGCCUU